UGUAAUAUGCCUGAUUAAAGGAUUAUUUUGAUAGAAUAAAUCAUGUGUUUACACUAUUACAA
rnacentral:tRNA from 1 species